GCCAGUUCUGGCCCCAUCGGUGAAUCAUCCGCACCUGCAGCACUGCUGGAGCCACUGCAAACCCGGGGUACUUGCUGGUUUGGGUUUAUUUCCACGUGUUGCUGAUUAAACCUACCCAGAAUGGAUGACCCCAUCAUUGCGUGAGCCAAGUUGCUGUUGCCACCAACCUAAAGACAUAUGGAGCCAUAAGGACAGGAACCAUUCUGUUUAUUUCUGUUUUAGACCUUCCACGUAUAUGGGCAGGGACUGCACGGUCACCACUGAAAAGGCAUCGAUAUAAUUGUAUUCUGCUGCAAGGAAAGGAUGCAGUGCUGGGACAAUUAACCUACCUUGGUUAGCC
rnacentral:lncRNA from 1 species